CCGGCGCACGGGUGAGUAACACGUAUCCAACCUGCCGUCUACUCUUGGACAGCCUUCUGAAAGGAAGAUUAAUACAAGAUGGCAUCAUGAGUCCGCAUGUUCACAUGAUUAAAGGUAUUCCGGUAGACGAUGGGGAUGCGUUCCAUUAGAUAGUAGGCGGGGUAACGGCCCACCUAGUCUUCGAUGGAUAGGGGUUCUGAGAGGAAGGUCCCCCACAUUGGAACUGAGACACGGUCCAAACUCCUACGGGAGGCAGCAGUGAGGAAUAUUGGUCAAUGGGCGAGAGCCUGAACCAGCCAAGUAGCGUGAAGGAUGGCUGCCCUAUGGGUUGUAAACUUCUUUUAUAAAGGAAUAAAGUCGGGUAUGCAUACCCGUUUGCAUGUACUUUAUGAAUAAGGAUCGGCUAACUCCGUGCCAGCAGCCGCGGUAAUACGGAGGAUCCGAGCGUUAUCCGGAUUUAUUGGGUUUAAAGGGAGCGUAGAUGGAUGUUUAAGUCAGUUGUGAAAGUUUGCGGCUCAACCGUAAAAUUGCAGUUGAUACUGGAUAUCUUGAGUGCAGUUGAGGCAGGCGGAAUUCGUGGUGUAGCGGUGAAAUGCUUAG
rnacentral:rRNA from 1 species